rnacentral:rRNA from 1 species
GGGACGAGAAGACCUAUAGAGCUUUACAUUUACUAAAUUAAUUUUUAUUAUUUAGUUAAUUUUUUAAUGUUAAUUUGUGUUGUUUGGUUGGGGUGAUUUGAAGAAUAAUUAAACUCUUCAUUAUUAAAUCAUUAAUUUAUGUUUAUUUGAUCCAUAAUUUGUGAUUAAAAGAUUAAGUUACCUUAGGGAUAACAGCGUAAUCAUUUUUAAGAGUUCUUAUCGAUAAAAUGGAUUGCGACCUCGAUGUUGGAUUA